CCGGCUUAAAACCACACUUUUCGACUUUAACUAUUACGAAUUAAUAUAGUCACUGGAGCAACCAUCUGGAAAGAAGCACCAGUGCUGCCAAUCUACGAAAGACUCGAUGACACAUCUCGAGGGAGUGGAACAACAAGGGAUUUAUCUACAACGAAGCUGCACUUGAAAAAAAGAGAAUUAUGAAGAUUGAUGAAGAUCACCCCGUAAAACAGAGAACCAAUACUGGUCGUUUCCAGAAGUGGAGUUGGAUUCGGUCAGAUUCAGUCGCGUAUAUUUAUCGCAAGAAAAAUUGUUAUUACAAUGGUGAACAAACUAUUGUAGUAUGUAUUGUAAGCCAUUAGUAUUUCGAGUGAAAUGGAUAAAAAUUCAGUGGUGACUCGUCGAUCGUUUACCCGUCUAAUUACAGAAGCAGGACGAUCAACUUGAUCAUUUUCGGGUUUUAUUCUGUUUUAAAUUACGGAAGCAUCAGUGUGGCCGACGGAUAGCAAGUUAUCGUCAUUCCGUGUUUCGCCAAUAGGUGCGCGUCAAUCUACCAUAGUGAGAAUACUUCACACUUUUUUCCUAGAUGGCACGCCAUGUUCUUCGCAGUUUGUCGUUCAGAUUUCUGGAAGCUCACUACCGACGUCUCUAAUUUCCACAUUUGCUGAUAGUUCCAAAAUUAAGAAUGUUAAGUGUCUGUUGGAUUGGUCGACGACUGAUG